UACGGAGGGGGCAAGCGUUAUUCGGAAUUAUUGGGCGUAAAGGGCGCGUAAGCGGCUAGAUGUGUCAAAGGUGAAAUCCCUCGGCUCAACUGAGGAACUGCCUUUGAAACUGUCUGGCUUGAGGCCGGGAGAGGGUAGCGGAAUUCCCAGUGUAGCGGUGAAAUGCGUAGAUAUUGGGAGGAACACCAGUGGCGAAGGCGGCUACCUGGACCGGUUCUGACGCUGAGGCGCGAAAGCGUGGGUAGCAAACAGG
rnacentral:rRNA from 1 species